AGAGUUUGAUCCUGGCUCAGGACGAACGCUGGCGGUGUGCUUCACACAUGCAAGUCGAGCGAAUGAAGAAGGUAGCUUGCUACUUUUGGAUUUAGCGGCGGACGGGUGAGUAAUAUAUAGGAAUCUGCCCUAGAGCGGGGAACAACAGACCGAAAGGUUUGCUAAUGCCCCAUAGGUACGCAGUCUUCGGAUUGUUUAUUAAAGGAGUAAUCCACUCUAGGAUGAGCCUGUAUCCGAUUAGCUAGUUGGCGGGGUAAAGGCCCACCAAGGCUACGAUCGGUAGUUGGUCUGAGAGGAUGAUCAGCCACAAUGGGACUGAGACACGGCCCAUACUCCUACGGGAGGCAGCAGUGGGGAAUUUUACACAAUGGGGGAAACCCUGAUGUAGCGACACCGCGUGAACGAAGAAGCCUUUUGGGGUGUAAAGUUCUGUCGGCUGGAACGAAAAAAAUGACGGUACCAGCAAAGGAAGCAUCGGCUAACUGCGUGCCAGCAGCCGCGGUAAGACGUAGGAUGCAAGCGUUGUCCGGAUUUAUUGGGCGUAAAGAGUUCGUAGGCGGUUAUUUAAGUCUGGUGUUAAAUACUGUGGCCCAACCACAGAACUGCAUUGGAUACUGGAUGACUUGAGUGCGGUAGAGGCGAGUGGAAUUCCCAGUGUAGCGGUGAAAUGCGUAGA
rnacentral:rRNA from 1 species